AUGCACCCAGACCCACACACAGGCGUGCACACACAAGUGCCCACGCAGGCAUGCACACUCACGCACACACUCGUGCAACACACACGCGUGCAUGCCCACACAUGCACGCACACCUACACACAGGCGUGCACACUCAUGCAGGCACACAAGUGCCCACACGCUCGUGCACGCCCACACACAUGCACACACAAGUGCCCACGCAGGCAUGCACGCUCACACACUCGUGCAACACACACACGCACGCCUACACACACAUGCACACCUACAUAUGGGUGUGCACACUCAUGCAGGCACACAAGCGCCCACAUGCUCAUGCACGCCCACACAUGUGCACACACAAGUGCCCAUGCAGGCAUGCAUGCUCACGCACACACUCGUGCAAUGCACGCGUGCACGCCCACGCAUGCACGCACACCUACACACAGGUGUGCACACUCAUGCAGGCACACAAGUGCCCACACACUCAUGCACACCCACACAGGCGUGCACACACAAGUGCCCACGCAGGCAUGCACACGCACACUCAUGCAACGCACAUGCGUGCAUGCCCACACAUGCACACACACCUACACACGGGUGUGCACACUCAUGCAGGCACACAACUGCCCACACGCUCGUGCACGCCCACACACGUGCACACACAAGUGCCCACGCAGGCAUGCACGCUCACACACUCGUGCAACACACACGUGCACGCCUACACACGCAUGCACACCUACACAUGGGUGUGCACACUCGUGCAGGCACACAAGUGCCCACAUGCUCAUGCAUGCCCACACAUGUGCACACACAAGUGCCCAUGCAGGCAUGCAUGCUCACACACAUGCCCAGGCAUGCACGCACACCUACACACAGGCGUGCACACUCAUGCAGGCACACAAGUGCCCACACACUCAUGCAUGCCCACACAGGCGUGCACACACAAGUGCCCACGCAGGCGCGCACACUCACACACACACUCGUGCAACGCACAUGCACACAGACCCACACACAGGCGUGCACACACAAGUGCCCACGCAGGCGCGCACACUCACACACACACUCGUGCAACGCACAUGCACACAGACCCACACACAGGCGUGCACACACAAGUGCCCAUGCAGGCAUGCACACUCACACACACACUCGUGCAACGCACGCGCCCACACGCCCACACAUGCACACAGACAUGCACACUCACACACACUCGUGCAACGCACGCGUCCACACGCCCACACAUGCACACAGACCUACACACAGGCAUGCACACUCACACACACUCGUGCAACGCACGCACACACGUGCACACCCGCGGGAGCAGUCGGAGGGCAGGAUGUAGGGAACAUCGGCCGCUCGGUUUGCAACCUGGUCCCGCCUCUCCGGGAAUAG
rnacentral:lncRNA from 1 species